GAUGAAGAACGCAGCAAAAUGCGAUAAGUAAUGUGAAUUGCAGAAUUCAGUGAAUCAUCGAAUCUUUGAACGCACAUUGCGCCCGCCAGUAUUCUGGUGGGCAUGCCUGUUCGAGCGUCAUUUCAACCCUCAAGCCCUCGGGUUUGGUGUUGGGGAUCGGCGAGCCUUUCUGGCAAGCCGGCCCCGAAAUCUAGUGGCGGUCUCGCUGCAGCCUCCAUUGCGUAGUAGUAAAACCCUCGCAACUGGAACGCGGCGCGGCCAAGCCGUUAAACCCCCAACUUCUGAAUGUUGACCUCGGAUCAGGUAGGAAUACCCGCUGAACUUAAGCAUAUCAAUAAGCGGAGGA
rnacentral:misc_RNA from 1 species